rnacentral:rRNA from 1 species
AUUGAACGCUGGCGGCAGGCCUAACACAUGCAAGUCGAACGGUAACAGGAAGAAGCUUGCUUCUUUGCUGACGAGUGGCGGACGGGUGAGUAAUGUCUGGGAAACUGCCUGAUGGAGGGGGAUAACUACUGGAAACGGUAGCUAAUACCGCAUAACGUCGCAAGACCAAAGAGGGGGACCUUCGGGCCUCUUGCCAUCGGAUGUGCCCAGAUGGGAUGAGCUAGUAGGUGGGGUAACGGCGCACCUAGGCGACGAUCCCUAGCUGGUCUGAGAGGAUGACCAGCCACACUGGAACUGAGACACGGUCCAGACUCCUACGGGAGGCAGCAGUGGGGAAUAUUGCACAAUGGGCGCAAGCCUGAUGCAGCCAUGCCGCGUGUAUGAAGAAGGCCUUCGGGUUGUAAAGUACUUUCAGCGGGGAGGAAGGGAGUAAAGUUAAUACCUUUGCUCAUUGACGUUACCCGCAGAAGAAGCACCGGCUAACUCCGUG